rnacentral:tRNA from 1 species
GCACCCAUAGCUCAGAUGGAUAGAGUGAUGGACUUCGAAUCCAGAGGUCGGGAGUUCGAGCCUCCCUGGGUGCACCA